AGAGUGUGGAGAGUUGGAAAAGGUAAGUAAACUGAAGUUUGCUCGCAAAUUUCAAUUGCUUACUGAGAUGAUUACAAAACGGUAUUAAUCGUACAGGAAAUUUGCUUUAGACUUCAGUUUUCUUAUUUUUUCCAACUCUCCACACUCU